CUUGGACCAGAGUUAAUAGCAUUUGAGCUACGUACUCUUCUGUUUGACGGUCGCUGUGGUCGCACAUGUAACUGAAGCCUAAGCUUAUACUUCAGAAAUGUUGGAAGAGCAGGUUGUAAAUUUGACAUAUCUGUCAGAUUCACGUCUGUCCAGCUCCUGCUUUUCAGGAAAAAGAAAUCACUGGAUGUACUUCUCUCAAGGAAAAAUUGCAAAACAAUAGAUUGCCAGCACUGGCUGAUGAUAAGCAUUAGGUAAGGAAAAGUUGGUAGAUUGCUUGCAUUGGGGGACAACACCAUCUUUGGAAGCAAAAGAAAAUGAUGAAACAAACUCUAGUGAUGACAAAUGUUGAGCCAAAUUAGGAGCAGUACAGUAUCCUUUCUGAGAAUGUUGUUUUGUUCAUGUGUUUGUGGUAAUAGGACAUUAGAUAAUUUAUAAAAAAAGCAUGUUACUGUU